UAGAAACCACAUCAACAGCAAAAACAAGGAAAUUAAUGCAAGUGAUAGGUCAAAAUGGUAAAACAAAUCCCACAGGCUGAAGGGAGGAUUUCUCAUUUUCUUUUCUUCUUUUUCCUUUUUAGGUUUAGAGGGGGCAGUAUAGCUGGGCUGUUGAGAUUUGGACAUUUGUUGUUUUAUUAGAUUACAGACAGUAUUUGAUAAAUGAAUUGAAUUUGAUAACUAAACAGGCUUGCACGUCAAACAAGUAAGGAUUUAACAAUUCUUUUUCUUAUAUGCUACUUAUGUGCACAUACUUUGUAUGUGUACAUAAUAACAUAUUUAAAAACAAGUGUG
rnacentral:misc_RNA from 1 species